ensembl:lncRNA
GGGGCACUGAGAUAAGUUGAGCCUCCAACCCGUGGCCCCAAGACAUCAAAAGGCACUCGGUCCAGUAAUGCUGGAGGCGGCCGUCAUUAAGCCCUAAUGGAGUGCUUCAUUAAGGCCCCUUCAAAGGCCCCCGUUUACAGACUCGGAGAUUGACUAAUUUACACAUUGUGGGAAAAUUGCUACCAGCUCUGCCCACACCCAGCAGGAGGAGAGACGCCCUCUCUCUUUGAAAGGUGGGAACUGCAAACGGGCCCUUUAAUGGUAGCAAAAGACCCAAUCCUGGCCUUAACUUUUGGAGCUGGCUGAAGCGUCUGUGCGCUCACCCAGAAUGGUGUUUGUCUGUCCGGAGGCAGGGUGGGACAGACACAGGUGUGCGGCUUUGGAGCCGACCGCUCUUAAACAUACCUGGGUUUGAAUUCCAGCUCUGCCCCAUCAGCUGGGAGUGAGCAUAUGACUUAGCCUUCCUGGGCCUCAGUUUCUCUUAUUGGAAAAAUGGGUAUGAUCAACUCACUGCUCCGGGCUAGGACAAGAGGUAAGAGCAGGGGAAGGGUCCAAUGCACGCUGGCUGUUCUUACCUUAGCGUAAACAUAAAGGAGAGCAAACAGCUACCCUGAAGCAGUGGCCAUCUUUCCAGAGGCUCUCUUUGUGGGAUUAUUAAUCAAUCUGUAGGGAGAUGCUCGCACCAAGAUAGGCCUGGGGUCCACAAAUAGAUGGCAAUAUUUGCUGCUGUGAGUCAGACCCAUUGGCUGUUGGAGAACCAUGUUAAGCAGCCUUGAGGGUAGCACGUAAUGGGAUCUAUUUGUAUACUUUUUCCUUUGUCAUCAGAGCGAUUUGGGAAGGACGUAAGGAAGCGUGCUCUCUUUGGGAUGCUUUCAUGUGGAUGCAUGCGUGCGUGCCAAGUCACUUUAAGUCAUGUCCAGCUCUGCGACUCUAUGGACUGUAGCCUGCCAGGCUCUUCUGUCCUUGGGAUUCUCCAGGCAAGAAUACUGGAGUGGGUUGCCAUGCCCUCCUCCAGGGGACCUUCCUGACUCAGGGGUAGAGCCCAGUCUCCGGCAGCUUCUACAUUGCAGGCGGAUUCUUCACCACUGAGCCACCGGGGAAGCCCCAGUGUGUGAGAAUGGCUCUCAGCCACCGAGGAGCGCAUGUGUCAUCAGAGGCGAACCUCAGCAUGGCUCUGCCCCGGAUAUGCUGAGCAACACUGGCCAUGCUGCCCGCCCUCUGGUCAGCAGAGACUUCCGCAGGGAUGAGCCCUGUGAUGUCCCCAGAGCCUCUCUCCAGCCUGAUGCACGGGGGUCCUCCCACCUGUUGCUACUCAGUGUGGUCCAGGGAACUUAGCAUCACUAGGACCGUAUAAGAAAUGCAGUUUCUCAGCACCCCUCCCCGGCCUCCGGAACGGGCAUGAUCACAGUGGUCUGGGCACAUGUACAGUCGAAGGCCACUGCUCUAACCCUUCCUUUGGCCCAGGAAGCCCCCAGUGACUACUGUUUCACCCAAGGGGUCCAGACUGAUUCUGGCCUGGAAAAGUCAUAAUUUGGGGACUGAAAACCUGGCUUCUCGCCUACCACCACUGGGAUCCAGUCUCUUCACGUCAGCAUCCUGCCACUUUUACUCUCUCGGGUCAUCUGGGAACCUCACCGAAUGGAAGAAACUUCCACAUCACUAACUGAGUUCCUACUGUGUGCCUGACACCCUGCCAAUCACAUCACAGCAUCAGGAGUGGAAAUCACAGUGGACACAAAAUAAAUCCCAGGGGACAGAGAGUGUCCUGGUGCAGACGCUUUCUAGAGGUGAUGCUUUCAGUGCGCGUUUCCCAGCAGCUCUGUGAAGCCCUUGCCUCAUGGAGGAUGGAUGAAGCCUGCCGUCCGCCUCACGCUUUGCCCAGUGUUGAGUCUCAGGCUUGGUUUUGACAGUCAGGACUCCUCCCACUACCCUUUGCUGCAGCAUCCCAGCCAGCAUGCAGAUUCCCAGGGAUCUUUGUUGGUGGUGAUCUCUCUGCCAACGGUGCGUUCUCUUCCUUUCACCCUUCCCAUCCUAUCUCUGCCCCAUCCACACAUCUAUUUUAAAAAACUUAGAUGUGUUGCAUCUGCCAGGGUUCUUUGGAGGUAAGCAACAGAAAAGGACUCUGGCAAGUCUUUUUGUAACAGAAAAUAUUCAUUUCCAAGAUUUAGGAUAGGUCCCAGAAGUUGCGAGACACUGAACUACUAGGCCUCAGAGAGACAGGACCUGGGGAAACUGGCUUCUAACUACCAGGAAGUAAGGAGAAGUCAGAACAACUUGGUGCCAACUAGAGUGACCUCAAGUCACUCUAUCAUGCCUGAAAUUCUCAGGAAAAAACAUCUGAUUGGCCCAGCUUGAGUUCCUCGCCCAACUCAUAACCGAAUCAAGUCAGGAACCAGGACUGUGUGUCCACCAAGACUGCAUGAGGAGGGGAAAGCUGGAGCCCAGAGGAAAAUUUGGUGCAGACACCACCACCCUUGGUGCACACUUUAUCCCAGACACAGCCUGGAUGGAUGCUAGAGGCUACGGAUGAAUCCUGCAGUUCCUGCUGAAAGAACUCAUAGCCCAGUGGAGGAGACUGGUUAGAUAGAAAGUGCUUGAAACAGGGUAAAGAGUGCCGUGACAGAGGGGUCCCUGAGAUCCAAGGAAGGGACUCCUGGAUCCAGGUGGGGCAUCAGAGAAGGCUUCUUGGAGGAAGUGAUGCCAAACUGAACCCUCACAGAUCUGUAGAAGCAGGCUGGGUGAAAAAGACGAGGAAGGGUGUUCUGGGCAGAGGGGCAUACAGCCUGGGCAAAAGGAGGGAAGUGCUUGAAAUAGAAACAGAGGAGGGCCUGGAAUGUUCCACAGGGGUUCCUGGGGCCCGUACAGGGCAGCAACAGUGGCUGAAAGAGUCUAGAAUGCAAGUGGGAAGGGACUUUCCAUGCUUCUGACCUAGCUCGAAAGCUUGUCAGUGUCCAGGAGGGCUGGGGGUUCUGCUUA